rnacentral:rRNA from 1 species
UACGGAGGAGGCAAGCGUUAUCCGGAAUUAUUGGGCGUAAAGCGUCCGUAGGUGGCUAGUCAAGUCUGCGGUCAAAGACUGGGGCUUAACCCUGGAAAGGCCGUGGAAACUGACGAGCUAGAGUGCAGUAGGGGUAGAGGGAAUUCCCGGUGUAGCGGUGAAAUGCGUAGAGAUCGGGAAGAACACCAGUGGCGAAAGCGCUCUGCUGGACUGCAACUGACACUGAGGGACGAAAGCUAGGGGAGCGAAAGGG